ensembl:lncRNA
AUGGAGAUGGUAGAUUUAAAUCAUAAUCAUAAGCAUGUUGGUUGUGUGUGUGGCUGCAAGGGUGGCCAACACACUUGGAAGGAUAUGGUUGAUGCUACGGUGCGUGAGCUUCACGUGGCGGCAGGACUGGGUAGUGAGGUUACUGCUUCAGACUAUCAUCAAGCAGAAAUGAUCAUCUACAAGAGAAUCCAGCAGGACUGCUUCCCAGAAAAACUGCUCCACCUCAAGAAGGGCAAGUCAGUACCAAAUAGUAGUCGACUACUUACCUUGUCCCCAGAGUUAGACCCUGAGGAUGCGAUCAUACGUGUUGGUGGUAGAUUGCGGCGGGCUGAAGCUCUCGAUUCUGCUUUUAAACACCCGAUCGUCUUGGAUCCCAGUCAUCCAGCCACCAAGCUCCUUAUACAGGACUAUGACACUCGUCUCUGUCACCCUGGACCUGAACUGGUAUACGCAGAAAUGCGUCAAGCUUUCUGGAUCCUGCACGGGAGAGAGGCAAUUCCUCAUAUACAACAUCUCUGUAAGGAGUGUAGGAGAUGGAAGGCCAAGCCAUCGGUGCCCAAGAUGUCAGACUUACCAGUGGCCCGUCUGCGUUUAUAUAAGCCAGCCUUCUAUUCCACGGGUGUGGACUGUUUUGGGCCUUUCCAGGUGAAGUUGGGACGCCGCUCUGAGAAGCGAUGGGGCAUUAUUUACAAAUGUCUCACCACACGAGCGGUGCACCUGGACCUCUUACACAGCUUGGAUUCAGACUCGUUUCUAAUGAGCCUCAGGAGAUUCAUUGCCCGUAGAGGUACGCCAGCUGAACUGUACUCGGAUCAGGGCACAAAUUUCAAGGCAGGAGAGAAAGAGCUUCGUGAGACAUUUGAUGGUCUAUCCUCAGAGCUUCAGCAACUUCUAGCGAAGCAGAAGAUUACUUUCCACCUCAACCCCCCAGCAGCACCCCAUUUUGGUGGGGCAUGGGAGCGAGAGAUAAGAUCAGUCAAAUCUGCUUUGUAUACAGUUAUAGGAGCUCAGCCAGUCUUUGAAGAAGUACUCCGUACCGUCUUGUUGGAAGUCGAGGCGAUACUGAACACAAAGCCACUGGGAUAUACCUCAGCCAAUAUAGCAGAUCUGGAUGCAAUCACUCCGAACGUCCUCUUGAUGGGGCGGCUAGAUGGUGCUUUGCCCCAGGUGGUAUACAACAAAAGUGAAGGCUUGAGUAGGAGAAGAUGGAGGCACUGUCAGGUCUUGGCAGACCACUUCUGGUCUAGGUUUAUCAGGUACUACUUACCCACCCUGCAGCCUCGACAGAAGUGGCAUACCACCAAUGUGGAUCUUGCAGUCAACUCUGUUGUUCUGAUGAUGGACCCACAGCUUCCCAGGGCUCUUUGGCCAGUCGGCAGAGUGACUAAGGUACAUCAGAGUGUUGAUGGUUGUGUAAGGUCAGCCGAUGUCCGGAUCAAGGACAAAGUCUACACCAGACCAGUUGCCCGUCUCAUUGCCCUUCCAGCUAUCCCAGAUUCAUAA